GCUCCGCCCUCUGGCGUUCACUCGCUUAAUGGCUGACACUUGAUCACGCUAAAUGCGAGUGUGGCGUCAAGUCAAAAGCAAAUAGAAAUGACAUUCACUGCCGCUAUCUUGUCUACACUGAAUACAGAUGUGCUUUUGCUUUCUGACACAGUCGCGCUCGAGUCUGUCGUCAAAUGCAGUGAAAGAUUGUUCGAUUUGGUUUAAACAGCUCGUUCUCGUCUUUGUACAGUUAUCAGAAGGAUCCCAGCGAGGCACAGUGUCAUGGAGAGUCACAAAGAAACAUUUGUUGAAAGAUGAAGCUACUAGAUCUGACUGCAGCUGCAUCACAAACCCUGUCCAACACCUAAAACGAUAUAUGACACAUCUGAAGAAAAGCCCAUCAAACACCAGCAGCUAAAACAGACAGGCCUACAACGGACGUCAUUACGCCAAAAGCAG
rnacentral:lncRNA from 1 species